rnacentral:rRNA from 1 species
AGGGCACCACCAGGAGUGGAGCCUGCGGCUUAAUUUGACUCGACACGGGGAAACUCACCCGGCCCGGACACCGCGAGGAUUGACAGAUUGACAGCUCUUUCAUGAUUCGGUGGAUGGUGGUGCAUGGCCGUUCUUAGUUCGUGGAGCGAUUUGUCUGGUUUAUUCCGAUAACGAGCGAGACUCUAGCCUGCUAAAUAGUCGAGACAUUGCUAAUAGUGUCCACGACUUCUUAGAGGGAUUUUCGGCGUUCAGCCGCACGAGAUUGAGCAAUAACAGGUCUGUGAUGCCCUUAGAUGUCCGGGGCCGCACGCGCGCUACACUGAAGGAUUCAGCAAGUGUUCAGCCUGGUCUGAGAAGAUCGGGUAACCUAAUGAAACUCCUUCGUGAUUGGGAUAGGGACUUGUAAUUAUUUCCCUUGAACGAGGAAUUCCUAGUAAGUGCGGGUCAUCAUCUCGCGUUGAUUACGUCCUGCCCUUUGAAACACCGCCCGUCGCUACUAUCGAGUGAUGAGUAUCAGAU